AAAGAUCGCAGCCUGCGGCAGCUCCUACAGGGAAACGCGAGUCCCUGUGUAGGAGCUGCCGCAGGCUGCGAUCUUU
rnacentral:misc_RNA from 1 species